UGAGUUGUAGCUUGGUGGAAAAGAGCUUAAGCCUAACAUGCUCAAGGCCCUGGGUUCAAUUCCUAGCAUCCCAA
rnacentral:tRNA from 1 species